rnacentral:lncRNA from 1 species
AUGCUGGUGGAGGAGGAACAGGAAUAUGGGUAUGACUCACAAUCACUGCACCUAGGGAGAGCAAAAGCCCAUUUGUGCAUUCACCACUUGGCAGAUGAAUGGCAAGGUGUGUACAGGAAAUCCAAAGCAGAAACAGUGCACAUUGUACAAACUCCUGACAAAACAAGAAGACAAGAGAUGACAAAAAUAGCCUGCCACAUAGGAAAGGAAGCCUAAGCACAUGUGCCAUCAGUGUGAGACAUGUGCAUGGAGUGUGCAGUUGUCAUGUGUGAAGACUGCCCUUGGGUGUGGCAACUGAAGCAAAGUUUAUUUUUGUUGUAGAGUUUUGUUAGUAUUCUCAUUGCUGUUCAUAUAGAAAUUGAUUUCUGUUGUUAUUUUUUAGAUGUUAUACACCAAACGUAAAUGUUGAAAACUUUUAUAAACACUAAAUAAAUAUUAAAAAUUCAAUAUUUUAUUUUUUGUAUAAUACUUUAUUUUUUUGAUUUCACUGGGUAGGAAAGAAUUUCAGCCAACUGCUGAAAACAGGUCUAUCUAUUAGGCAUAGGUUCUAUUUUAUGUGACUAUCUUGGGAAUCAACUUCAAUCAUUGUCUGGAACUCAUUUUCCUCACUUGCCCCAUUUCCUCUGUAACUUGUUGUCUUGAUUGGGUCAACAGAAUACUACAUCUCCUGGAAACAAGAGCACUCACAACUUUGAAACUAUAAGGAGAAAUAAAAC